CUCCAUGGAAUCUCAAUUUAUUCCCCUCCCUCCACAUCGUCGGCACCAAAAUCCCAAAUAGGUAUGCUGUAAUUUCUGCUAAGCCAUUUCUGCUCUUCGCUAGAUUACUAAUCCACGCACAUUCCUCCUGCCAGUCAGCAAUGGUACGCUUAUGGCCCAACCAAUUGAGGAGUCGAUACCAGAGCUCUUUGAUUUUCAAACAGUCAAAGAAAAGAUGCUCAAAUGUCUCUCGAUACAACCCACAGAAAAUGCAAUCUUGCGGAACCACAAUAUUUAGUAUUU
rnacentral:lncRNA from 1 species